GAACAACUUGAAAUUGAACACAUAAAUUUACUCGCUCCUGUGUAGCCCCUCCUAGUGAGCGGUCGAAAAUGUUACUUUGCGGAGGCCGUAGAUUCAAUAUAUUGGCGCCACCAACCCCAUUCUCAUUUGGGACUUUCAUCAAACACCUUGCAACUCCUUCAAAAUCCUCAAACCUUUCACUCACCGCAAAAUCAUUUACCACUAGCGCAAGCACAAAUGUCUUCAGCUCUUACCGUUUUGAAGCACUAAACUCGCGUCAAAAAGAACAAGUGCAUCUCUACAUUGAUUCCCUCCUUGAAUGGAACCAGAGAAUGAAUCUUACUGCCGUAAAAGAGGAGAGUGAGGUUAUGGAAAGGCACGUUGAAGACUCACUUUCAAUCAUAGAACCGAUUCGGACUUCGUAUGUUUCACAUUGUGGAACUUCGUCUGAGAAUCUCAAUCUCGUUGAUGUUGGAAGUGGUGCUGGACUUCCUGGAAUAAUUUUGGCCAUUGCUUCCCCUGGUUGGAAAGUGACUCUUCUUGAGUCUAUGAAUAAGCGUUGUUCCUUCCUGGAGCAUGUGGUUAGUGAGAUUGGUCUAUCAAAUGUUCAAGUUAAGAGAGAAAGAGCUGAGACGCUGGGGCAAGAUGUCAACUUCAGAGAGUCUUUUGAUGUUGCAGUUGCCAGAGCAGUUGCAGAAAUGAGAAUUUUAGCUGAAUAUUGCCUUCCUCUAGUCCGAACUGGUGGUAUCUUUCUAGCUGCAAAAGGUCAUGAUCCUCAGGAGGAAGUAGAUAGAGCAGAGAGAGCAAUACAACUGAUGGGAGCCUCUCUAUUGCAAAUUCGCUGUGGAUUGAGGUCAAUGCGCUGGGCUUUCCUCAGCCUGAAGAAUCAAUUAUAAGCAGUAUCACAUCUUCUUACUUGUAACUUUGAAAGUGAAGAUAUCAGAUAUCUUGCUGUUAUGUCACAGUAUGAUAGUUGAUUCCCACAGUAAACAUGGACAGAGAACUGCCAUAAUUUGUUUGAAAGGUAAACCUACGCCAAAGAAAUAUCCUCGAGAUCCAGGAACUCCAGCUAAGAUUCCACUCUGAGAGAAAUGUUGUCUUACCUCCUUAUCUUCCAAUUGUACAGUUAAUGUAUGAUGGAGGGAAAUUUGUAUUUCAGUAGCCUUUCUCUCGAGUUUAGAAGCACAAACAUUGUACUCAUAGAUUGCUGGAAGCAGUACUAUUAGUACCUUGAGAAGGUACACCACACAGAUUUGGCUUCAAUUCUGUCCACUAAGAUGAAUGUAUAUUACAUCCACACAAUAGUUUUAUUAUUUUGUCUUCUUGCGGUUUUGAAUUAAACAAUUUUUGUAAAUAUCAUUGUCUUGACUAACAAAGACCUAAAUGGCCGCCACACUCACGUGCCAGUUGGUGAUUCAA